rnacentral:rRNA from 1 species
UGGGGAAUAUUGGACAAUGGGGGCAACCCUGAUCCAGCAAUGCCGCGUGUGUGAAGAAGGUCUUCGGAUUGUAAAGCACUUUCGACGGGGACGAUGAUGACGGUACCCGUAGAAGAAGCCCCGGCUAACUUCGUGCCAGCAGCCGCGGUAAUACGAAGGGGGCUAGCGUUGCUCGGAAUGACUGGGCGUAAAGGGCGUGUAGGCGGUUUACACAGUCAGAUGUGAAAUCCCCGGGCUUAACCUGGGAGCUGCAUUUGAUACGUGUAGACUAGAGUGUGAGAGAGGGUUGCGGAAUUCCCAGUGUAGAGGUGAAAUUCGUAGAUAUUGGGAAGAACACCGGUGGCGAAGGCGGCAACCUGGCUCAUGACUGACGCUGAGGCGCGAAAGCGUGGGGAGCAAACAGGUU